rnacentral:RNase_P_RNA from 1 species
CGAGUCGGUCGGGCGACCGCGUCGGGGCCUCCGGGCCUCGUCGAGGAAAGUCCGGACUCCACAGGGCAGGGUGGUUGUCAACGGCAACCCGGGGUGACCCGCGGGAUAGUGCCACAGAGAACAGACCGCCUCCGGAGCGAUCCGGGGGUAAGGGUGAAACGGUGGUGUAAGAGACCACCAGCACCCCGGGUGACCGGGGUGGCUAGGUAAACCCCACCCGGAGCAAGGCCAAGAAGGCCACGCGUGAGCGUGGUUGCGCAGGUGUUCGAGGGUUGCCCGCCCGAGCUUGCGGGUAGGCCGCUGGAGCCUGCCGGUGACGGCAGGCCGAGAUGGAUGGUCGCCGAACGGAGCACCGCGAGGUGCCCGGGAACAGGAUCCGGCUUACAGACCGGCUCGUCCG